UCAUCAACAGUCGUCAGUCUUGUUUGAAACAGAUAACAGAGUUUCGAAAAUUUGCAUAAUAUGUACAUGACUAUUAUUUUAUAAACCACUAUAAUUUUAAUUCGUGUUUUUACUGUUGGUUAUGGUAUUAGUUAUAAAAUGAAGUAGCAAUAAUGUAGCAUACCUAAUAAAAAAAUCUUUAUUAUAACAAGAAAGAAACUGACUUAUAUGUUGAUAACAAUAGCAUUAGGCUACUACUGCCUAUAUCGUACCUAUAUUUUGAGUUUUCUGUGGAGAACGAAUGGCUCAAGUUAAUGAAGCUAAUGAAAUAUCAAAAACCUACCAAAAAUAAAAAUGCCAUUUAUGUCUGCCUGUCACCACAUAGAAAGCUUUCCGAAAGACACAACUCCUUGGUAAGUAGUUCCUCACUUUACUUGAUUAUUGGUUUAUAUAGUGUCCCAAAAAGGAUGUUAAGUUUUUAGAAUUACUGUGAAGGUAGUGAUUUCAAUGUUUUAAUGUUUCUACACAUCCAAGUCUCUAUUGUUCAAUUAGAUUGUCCUAUUGUCCAAAUUAGUCUCACGUUUAUUGUCCAAUUGAGGAUACAUCAUAACUAAGAGAGAUAAGGUGAAGAGUUCUGACUGAGGCCUAUAGCUGAAUUAUGCCACCUGUACUGCAUCAGAAUAAGUGCUUGACUUUCAAUUCAGUGGUUUUAUUCAGCUUAAGACCUUGGUUACAGCUUUUUUCAAUAAAACCUCUCAAAUUACCUAGUUAAAUAAGAUGUUCUCUUGAAUUGGAUAAUUUGGCAUACUCGGAAAUGUAAAAAUAUCAAUGUUGUUAACAAUUCAAAUCAAAUCGUUU